rnacentral:pre_miRNA from 1 species
CUACUACUCCCUUCGUCCAAAAAUACUUGUCAUUGAAAUGGAUGUAUCUAGAUGUAUUUUAGUUCUAGACACAUCCAUUUUGAUGACAAGUAAUUCCGGACGGAGGGGGUAUUAU